GUACUCUCAUGCUCUUUACUUAAGAGUGACAUGAUCAGACCUGGAUUCCAGAUAGAUGAGUUUGGGGUCUAAGCGCUUUUUGAGAUGUCAAAGAAGACAGGCGCUUGUGAGCUUUACUUUUCUGUGUGAUGGACAGGAAGUUUUAGAGCCAUCAGGGAAAGUACUGGUCACCUUGCUGCUUUGUUGAAGACCCAUAUACCUAGUGCCUUGUUAGCUGGGUAGGAUGAGGAAGGAGGGCUCUCUCUUCCUAAAGGGGAUACUCUUCCAGUUGCUGUGAAGACCCAUCUUCAUUCAGGAAUCUCUUUGGAUAGCAACAAAGAGCAGCCCUCAACUUUGACUGAGUUCUGUGUUCAAAGGCAGGGCUGCCAGAUGGUAGAGGCCAGGCAGUCCUGCCAGGUUUAUACCCUGGGCAGUUCUGGUCAGGGUCAGCCACUGCCAUGACCAGGUUGAACUCUUGCCACAUUCCUGACCUGUCUUCUAGGUAGCAAUUGUCUUCCAGGCCAACCUACUGAAUGUGUAUUUCUCCCUUUCUGUUUAAUGUAGUGCUUAUCUGAAGUCAGAAAGGGAUUCAUAAAGAGAGGUCCUCAGGAGUGCUGAGG
rnacentral:lncRNA from 1 species